ACUUCUGAUUAAAUGCCCAUAUUGGUGUUUGGUCUGGUUAUAUCAAUUUUGGACUGGUAACAGUUUGAAGUUACCAGCCCUGAUGUCUGGCUGGGGUUUUGGCUUAUUUCAUAC